UACGAAGGGGGCUAGCGUUGUUCGGAAUCACUGGGCGUAAAGGCGCGUAGGCGGCCGAUCAAGUCGGGGGUGAAAGCCUGUGGCUUAACCACAGAAUGGCCUUCGAUACUGUUUGGCUUGAGACCGGAAGAGGUUAGUGGAACUGCGAGUGUAGAGGUGAAAUUCGUAGAUAUUCGCAAGAACACCAGUGGCGAAGGCGGCUGACUGGUCCGGUCUGACGCUGAGGCGCGAAAGCGUGGGGAGCAAACAGGAUUAAGAAACCCCGGUGAGU
rnacentral:rRNA from 1 species